AUCAAUAUCUGAGUCACCAUUCUCACCACCCUGAUCAGCAGAGAGUUUAGGAUGGCUACGAGACUGCAACAGCCACGAUAGCAAGUAUGGAAGAGGAGGAGAUCGGACACGAAAACCAAAGAGCUUCCGAUGGUCAAAUGGAUCUUGAGGUUUGGAGAGAGAACUUGCUUCAGAUAGGACUUUGAUAGAGUAGCAUAACAACAAUAGCUGAGGUCUCCAAGUUUGACCGUUAGGAAGCACCUUGUGGCCAUCCCUAUUCUUUCGGCAUGAUGGAUGAUUUUCAACAAGACAAACAGGAUUCAUCAAACUUGGAUUCAUCAUGCGUAAAUCACCAACAGCCUGAGCAAUAGACUGCUGAACAACAUGAGAACGUUGAGCAACAAACACCUCAUAACUCAAAGGCGAGCCAGAUGGUCCAUCAGGAGGUGCAGAAGCAGCAUGAGUCAAAGCAACUACGGCAUUUUUCCAGAUAGAGGAGCCAAGAGAAUUAGUGAUUGAUCUUAACAAUGGAAGAUCAUUAAGAUCCCGGGUCUGGCUGUCCAACCGAUCAACAUAGACUACAACAUCAGGGGGACACUUCUUCAUGUAUUGCUUUAUAGAAGCUAGGACCUUGCGAUUGGCACCUUGCUCCAUGGCAGAAGAUCUCAAACCUGGGGUAUCAAUGAUCCUCAAUUUCACACCAUCUAAUGUUCCAGUAAUCUCUUUCACAACUGAAGUGGCAGGUUCAAAUGCAUGAAUUGAAGUCUUCUCCUCACCAAAGAUUGAAUUUAUUGUGGCGCUCUUGCCCACCCCAAUUUUCCCAAGCACAAGUAUGUUCAAGGAGAAGCUUAAAUCAUCUUUACCCUCUGUUUCAAGUUCCAGAGCUUUCCUCUUUGAAGAAUCAACACUAAACAGUUCACUGGUUUGCCUCCCUGCAACAAGCGCCAGUCUAUAAAGAACCUGUGCUGCAACAGAAUCUUCCGUAGAGAGUCCUAGCCUCUGAACAAGCCUCAAGAAUUUGACUCUAAUAAGUUGCAACUUUUCUAAUUUUAUUUUAUCUUCUUCAGUCAAGUUGAUGUCGGAGUCUCUCCUACUUGUUACAGCAGAAGGACUAAAUAAGUUAGGCCUGUUUGAUCGAGCUGCAGGUUUUGCAUUUUGCAGUGAGGAUCCUAAACCCACAGGACGUUCAACAGAGAAAAGCCUAGAUCCAUCUUGAGAGGUUAUAGUAAUGUUACCACCAUCAGAGCCAGCGCCGGUUGCUGCUUUCAAGAGGGCUGCCAAAGCAGCAGAAUCAAAUAACUCCUUCCCCUCCCCUUCUUCAUCUGUAUCCCCUUCUUCAUCAGAAUCAAUGACAAUCUGACCAUCAAUUGUCUGCGAAUGAUCAUGAGAAGUAUCAGCACCCGAGUGAGAACCAAUGGCAGCUCCUCGUUCUAGCUCCUUCAAGAAUUGCUCAGCAGCAUCAGCAUUCUCAAAGAACAUGCUUUCAGCCUCUCCGUCAGUAUCUGAGCCUCCAAUUUCAGCACCUUCAUUCUGAUGGUGCUCCUCUUGCAUUUCACCUUCAAAACUAUUUUGUUCAACAGACUUUGGUAAAUGAGAUUCUUCUACUGCCAUGGCUACUGAUCUUUUGCUUUCAGAAUCAGCAUCUGAAACCUCCAUUUCACGAGCUGCCAUCAUUUCAGUGGGUUGAGCAGAAUCAUCCAUGGUCUGAAUUCCAUCUAUACCCCCUCCAUCUAUUUUCUCAGUAGACGCUUGCUCCAACAUAUCUACACCUGCCUCCUCUUUGAGGUCACUUAGCUCAGAUUCGGAACCAUCUUUAGCAAGCAAACCCCCACCAGCAACAUCAGCUUUCCUCUCGGCAUUGGUUUCAGAAGUCAAGACCUCAGUAGUUUCAAUUUCAUCGGUCGCAACAGGGUCAAUAGUUUUAUCAGACACAGGAUGGACAUCCAGAACACGUUCUUCUUCAUCAUGACCAGCCUGAUUAAAGCCAUUAUCCAAGCUCACAUCCCCAUCAACCGGAACCACCUCUGUCUCCUUAAUCUCCGAUGUCUCAAUGCCUAAACCAUCACCAGUUAAAGGCGUUGCAUCAACAGCCAACUCCUCUCCACCGGAAAAUUUCGAACCAUCAUCAUCAACCACCUCACCAUCUACUGCUUCUGCAAUCACAGGAUUAACAACCUUAGCUCCACCAUCUAACACCGAAUUAUCCUCAUUCUCAACCAUCCCAAUUCUACCUUCCUCUUCACUCUCAAUUGAUAAAACAGCUUGGUCAGCUUCACCAGUAGAGCCCAUUCCCACCUUAUUAUCCUUCUCUUCUCCAUUACCAACACUAUCAAAAUCAACCUUUCGCAGCGAACCCUCACCUCUAAACUCCUCUAAACCAUUAUCACCACCCCCAAACGACUCCUCCUUCAAAAUCACAUCCGAACCAUCAGAACCAACAAAAGGGGUAUCGCUAACAUCCCCAACAGUCGGAAAUACUUCAUCAGGGUCAGCCACAAAUGGCCUCUCGGGUACUGUUUCAAACUUGCCAUCACCGUUCUCAUCAAUAUCACUAGUUCUAUUAUCAUUUUCUUUCAAAGCAUAAUCGCUUACCGAACUAGUUACAAACUUAGAAUCAUCAUCGGAAGAAGAAGAAGAGGAGGAAGAAGAAGAAGAGGAAGAAGAAGGAGAACCUGGAGUGGCAGAGAGCGGCUGAGAAGCGAUUUCUGGGGCAGAAAACUCGGUUUCCAUGAGAGAAGAGAAUUAGGGUUUUAGGAUAUGGUAAUGAAAAUUGGGUGGUAAAGAAAAAUCGGAUUGCGUAACUGGAAUUUUGUGAUGGAGAUACUAAGCUUUAAGGAAGAGGAAAAAGAUAAGGUAGAAUGGAAGCUAAGGGUUUUGCGAGUUCGUAAUUAUCAAUCUCAUCUGUUGAGAUUAAAAAAAAAAAAAGCAAUUAUAUUAUAAUUUUAUUACAUUAUAAUUAAAUUAUAUUCAUUUAUUAAUUUAAAAUAAUCUUAAGAUUUGUAAUGCAUGAAAAAUAUUUUUUUAAAUAAAAAAUAUAAAUAUCAAUACUUCAUUUUUUUAAUCUUUAUUUAUGAUAUUAUAGUGAUAGUAAAAAUUGAUAUUUUUAUAUAUGAUGUUAAUUUAAAAACUAAAUAUUUAAGUAUAUAUUUAAUUUAAAAUAUUUAACAUAAAUUCAUAUAAAUUAAUAUUAAUAUAUACCAAAUUUAUAUAUAUUAAUGUUAAAAAGUAUCGUUAUUUGUUAUUUCAUAAAUUUUGUUAACUAUCGUAAAAUUUUAAAUAAUUAAGUUAAUAGUUAAUUGAGUCUUAAUUCAAUUGGUAUAGGUGUUGUUGUUAGUGCAAAAAAAUGUAGGUUCGAGUACGUUGAACUGCAUUAUUUUCCUAUUUAAGGGUUUAAGAGAACUAUUGGUAGUUUUAAAGUAAGUAUGAUAAAAAUCUAUAAAAAAAUCUAAUUAAAUUAAUUAAUAUAUAAAUUAAUAUAGAAGAAGAAAAGAAUAUACAUAUUGUGUUUUAUAUAGUUUAUAUUAUUUUCUUUAAAAAUAGUAUUAUCAUAUAUUAAGCGUAAAUACUAUAUGUCAAUAAUGACAGUAGAAAUUAUCGUAAUGCAAUAAGAAACAAAAAUAAGAACACAAAGAUUUACUAAUUUACUAAUUAGACCAACAAUAAUAAGAAAUUUUCUAUUAGAAAGAAUAAUAAAAUAAAAUAAAAAUAUUAAACAAUCAAUUUUUAAAAAUUAAUUCACUAAUUUUCAUCUUAAGCUUGAUAUUUUGCUUUUUCACUUGUAUCAUCCACUUGUUUGUUGUAUCUAUAAUUUCAUAUAUUUUUUAAUGUUUUAACAUUUCGAUAUUUUCACAAAAUUUUCUUGAUAUUUUGUAUUGCCGAUUAUAUAUGUUGGGGUUCGAUUUGUAUGAGCAACGAAUAAGUAAAAUAAAGCAGAUCAAACAUACAAGUAUUUUACGUAAAAAAACUACUCCGAAGAGGAUAAAAAUCACGGCAAAGGAGGUUUCAGCUUUUCAUUAAAUAUGUAAACAAACAAGAGUACAAUAUGGAGAAAAUAAACCUAAAUUUACUAAACGUACAUUACUCAAAACUCUGAAUAUAAGGUAAUAACUCUCAUAGAGCAAACCCGAAAAUAAAACCCUAAUUCUCGUAGAGUUAUCUCAGAAGAAGUACAAAAUUAUAUUUAUAGUUACCGCGAAAACUCUCACCACAUCACCAUGUCUCAAUGUACCUAUUCGCGCCAUCCGUUGUCACAACGUCAGGGAGCUUCUCAUCAUUACCUCACUGUCUGCUCGACCGAAAAUACGACACCCCACAUAUUGGAAGAAAACUUAAAAAAAAGUUAUUAAAAAAGAUGGUGAAAAAAAUAUAUGAAUUAAAAAUUUUCAAAAAUUAUAAAAGUUUAAUGAUACUAUAAUAUUAAAUUUAUUUUAUUGAAAAAUUAGUUUCAAAUUGAAAAAAAAAAACCUUUCAUUUUGUUUUAGGAAAACAUUUUCUUGGAAAAUUAGAAAACAAACUAAGAAAAAAUGAUUUUGUUGAAAAUUCUAAAAACAAUUUUUGAAAAAAAAUUGUGAAAAUUUUAAAAAAAUUAUUUUUAUUCUUUUCACUAAAAAUGUUUUUUACAAAAUUGGAAACAAGUGUUUUAAACUUUAAAAUUAAUGGAUGAAUUGACCUUAGAUUAAAUCCAUUUAAAGGAGAAAUUUUAUUAUUUUAAACCAUUUUUAAAUAAAAAUCUCUUAUCUAAAUUUUUAUUUUAUUUUUUAUUUUUCUAUUAUAAAAAGAUGGACACUAAACAUAUUUUUUAUUUUUUAAUCCAAAUAAUUAACGCUGUUCACUUUUCUAUUAAAAUAUUACAUGAUUAUAUAUAACUUAAAUGCCCCAAAGGUCUCAGAGGCUGACACGUGACUUCUUAUUUCUUUUGGAUUUGCCUUUAUUAGCAUUUUAUGUCAUGCUAAAACUUGAUAUUUAAUCUAUAUACUUUAAUUUAUAACAUAAUUUAAUUUGGUUCAUUUACUUUUACAAUGUCAUUAGUUAGUUUAAAUAAUUAAUAUUGUUAAAUAUUUCAAUCAAAUGCUGUCAAUUUUUUUUUUAAAUUACUAUUCUAGCAAAAAAUAUUUUAUCAUCACAAGCUUAAACAAGUAUUUUUAAGAAAAAAAUCCGCACCAAUAAAAUUGGAUUUAAUGUAACAGUUAUCCUAGAUGACAUCAAAGUGGUGCUCCCUGUGGCACUGGAUUUUCAACCAGAGGCGAACCCAAGGGGGGUUGGCAGGGGCCCGACCCCCUUAAAAUAGAAAAUUAUUGUUUUGGCCCGUUAAAAAAUUUUAAAUUAGUGAAGAUAAAAUUACACUUUGCCCCCCUAAAAUUAUGAAAAUUUAAUUUAAUCUUUUAAAAAUUAUAAAGAUAUAGACAAUUAAAAAUUAAAAUUUCAUUUCGGCCCUCCUAAAGAGAAUUUCUAGCUUCGUCCUUGUGUCUAAUCGUGGGAUAUAACAAAAACUAUAAUUAAAUAUAUAUAUUUUUAAAAAAACUAGCAAUUUUAAGCAAGACCUUUUAAGAUUGGGUUAAUAUAAUUUUUAGUCCCUGAAUAUAGUAAUUAAAUCCACUUCAGAAAUCGCACUUUUUUUUGUUCACUUUAGUACUUGAACUUAACAACUAGGUUUAUUUUAGUCAUUUAACUUAGAUUCAAUCACAAUUUGAUGAUAUGGUACAAUUUCAAAAUAUCACUCAUCAAGUUUUUUACAUUUACUAAAUUUAAUCAAAAUAAAUCUAAUUACCAAAUUUAGAUACGGGAAGUAAAAAUACAAAAAUAAAUUUAAUUCGUAUUUUGUUGGUUUGCCUUUGAAGGAUAACAUUAAGGAUUAGGCUUCUGUAUAACUUUGUUUGGUUUGGUAUUUUAUUUUAUCUUUAUUUUAUUUGGGCUUAUUUUGACCUUAUAUGUGUUUUGUUGUUUGGUUAGGCAUAUUUGACUUCUAUUGGAUAUAUGUAUAUGUUUUUAUUAAUGUUUUUAAAAUCAGAUUGAUAGGCAAAUUAGUUACGCUAGAAGUUUAUUAAUCCGAUUAGUUUAAUAAAAGAAAUAUUAAAAGAAUUGGUUCAAUAUCGGUCGAUCCUUUUUUAGUCAAUUAGUUUAACCAGUUCGUGAAUUUUAUCGCAUCAGUUCAAAGUCUUUCUCCAAAUCAGUUCUUCGACCGAUUGUCAUUCCAAUCAAUUCAACCGUCUAAUUCGAUUUGAUUCAAACAAUCUUAAACCCAUUUAAGUUCAUCCAUAUUAAAAAUUUAAAAUAUUAUUUAUAUAUUUAAUAAUUUUAUAUAUUUUUAAUUAAAAAUUUAAACAUAAAUAAUUUUCACAUAUAUAUAUUUAUAUAUUUAUAUAUUCAAUUUUCAUACUAUAAAUAUAAAAGAAAAGAAAAUUAACAUAUUAUAAACUAAAAAAAAAUGAGCCAAACCUUUGAAUAUUGAAGCUUAAGUGUGACAUUUUUUAAAAAUGAGUUUAAUACUUUUAUAUAAAUUUAGCUUAAAUUUAACUCUUUUUCUUAUUCAAAUCUUCUCAAAAAUAGAUUUAUAAUGAAUUUAAAUGUUAUACACAAUUACUAUAAAAUAAAUAAAAGAGAAAACUUGGUAAAAGUAUCAUGUACUAUUAAAAAUUUAGGUGAAUUAGUCCUUGUAAGUUAGAUUCAAGAGCAAAUUGAUCCUUUUGUAGAAAAUUUUAUCCAUUUUUACUAUUAAAAAUUGGUCACUAUAAGUCAGUAUGAUGUACAUGUGAUAUGCCACGUAUAAUUGUCGGUUAUUUACAGUAAAAAUAGAUUAAUUUACUCUUUUUCUAAAUAAAAAAAAACAGAUAAAAUACAAUCUUUCCAAUACAAAAAUGGAAAUGAUAUUUUUACCGAAAAUACUAUAAUAAAACCUCGUUGUAGGGACGACAUGAUUUUCCCUUCAAGUUGCUACCAUCAUCUAACAUAAAACAAACACAAGAGUUUAAAGAGUGAUAUUUGGGAUUGGUCGGCCACAUUGCUUUAAUCAGUAAUGAUAUAAGAUUUAACAAAACUUUGUCUUACCAAAAUAAACUAUAAAACUAUAUCUAAAUAAUAUUAAUUAAAUAUAAAUUAUUAUUAUUAGUGUAAUUAUUAUGAAUUUUGUGUUUGACAUAUUACAUUCUCAUGAAAAAAAAAUAUUUAACUCAGUUUUAUUUUGUGAAAAUACUUAUUAAUUGAAUGUUGGCUUCAUAAAAUUUUUAAUAAAUAUUAAAUUUAUUUUUGAUAUUUCAAAUAACAAUUCUAUUUAUUAAGUUAUUAUAGAGUGAAUGAAGAAAAUUAAAUUCUCAAAGGUUAAGGGAUAGGAUAGUAUAAUUUUUGACUCGAGAAGAUUUAAUCGGUGAUACUUCCCCCUCCAUUUGUUUAUUGGUUUUGAUAAUAUAAAUUUUAACUUUUUAUUUAUUAUCAGAAAAUUCAUUUAACUUAACCAAAUGUGACAAGUCUUAUAACUAAUAAAAAUAUUUAAAAUUGUAAAACUAAUAAAAAAAUAAACAAGUGGUUUUAAUUAGUAUAUAAAAAUUAAUACUUCAAUAAAUAAAGUAGUUCAAUACAGUAUUUAAUCUUUUUAUCAAAUAAAAUUAUUUAAUAAAAAAUUAACAAAUAUUUAUAUUUGUGAUAAGUAUCUAAUAAAUUCAUUUAAUAAAAAAAUUUAAUAGCUUAUAAAUCCGAUGAAAAUAUUUAAAAUGAUAAAAUUAGUAAUAUAAUAAAGAAUGAAAAGUACUCUAAUUAAUUUAUAUAUCUAAAACUCAUUUUCUUUGCCUAACCCUCCCCAGCCCUCAAAGCAUACAAAACAGAGCAAAACAACCAAAUACCCUAUUACCAAUCAAAACAUCAUACAUUUGCAGCCCUCGAAGACUAGAUAUAUAUUUUUAAGGUCCCUCUGAGAUUAUAUAUUAAUAUUAUACAUUAGUCUCUAUGACCUUUUUCAUUUCACCACACAAUCUAAAUUUCUAACUCUGCCCCUACAAUCUAGCUCCGCCAGACUCCAACUCUUAUACUGUUCAAGAGGAACUUAUACUAUUUAAAAACAAAAAUAUCAUACAUGAACUAUAAGUUCUUUUUAAAACAAAACCAACCAGUUAUCAUCAAUCCUGCGUACCAUUCUAGUAGAGGAUAUGUAAAAAUAACAGAUCCUCAAAAAGUAACAUUAUAUCAAAAGGCUGCAAAGAUCUGUACAUGUAAAUUCCUCUGCUAACAGGCAAAAUGUUCAUAUUUAUAAAAAGCUUACCAUUAACCAAAACCGCUAAACAAACAAGCAAAAAGUUACCAUGCUUAGUAACAUUUAUUAGGAAAUAAAAAUGGAUACCUCAUCAAAGCAGUACUUCACGCACAAAAAUAGCCUACAACAUAUUAAUCAAGGAAUGUAGCUAAUAAACUAAUACAUUGAGUAGUUGUCACUAACCCUGGGCUUGAUGCUUUUGUAAAUUGCCAUGACAACAGGAAGGAGACCAGUGAGUGCAAUCUGGAGUUGAUCCGAGCUGCUUGUUCGAACAGUUAUCUGUCCACUCAUCUUGUUGUUCAGUCCUGCACGAACUGCUACUUUUGAACUCCUUCCAACAGAUAACUGAGUCUGAAAAUUGGCUCCCAGUGCCAAGUCCCCUCUCCAUUUGACUAGAGACAAACCCAAAGUGGAUUGAUCCUGGUCGAUUGGAAAAUCUGCACCUCGGAGCCGCAUUUCUAGAUUGGCUCCAUAUGCUGAAUCACCUUUAGAUCUAACAGUCCCAGUGCUACCAACUAAAACCAGUCGCUUUCCAACAACAAUAUGAUCCUCAAGUUUGAGUCCAGUUGCAACAUUCUCACCUAGAAAUGUAACAGAGAAGCCAGCAGCUGUUUUGUUCUUUUUGAGAUUUUUGAAUUUGGUCUCCCCUCUGAAAAUGUAAGCUAACUGCUUUCCAACAUUUUGGAUGUCAAAACCAGCCAUGGUUGAUCCAUUUUCACCAUGCUUGGUAGAAACUGAAGAGUCCAAAUGGAUGUUAAACUCUUUCUUAUCCUUGGUGAGUUGAACGGAAACUGUAGCAGGAAACUGGUUGGCGAUUGCUAGACUAUGUUCAACAUUAACACCAUCAUAGCCACAAUCAUGGUCCCAACCGUGAGUGUCCAAUACUGGCCUCGCCAAGAACUGAGAAGUUGGUUCCAAAAAUCGGUACCUGUAUGCUGGAUUAUCAGCAUCAAAGGAAGGUGGCAAGACCAUAUCAGGUAAUGGAACUGGUACAGCGGCUGGACCACCAGUUUCCUGAUCAACAUCUUCCCCUGUGUUACCAUAUUCAUCAACGGCUGGCUUUCUUUUCUUCAGCUCUCUCAUUCUUCUCAACUCCUCCCUCCACUGCUUUUUCUGGAGGAGCUUCACCCGAUAAUCAUACUCCUCAAAAUAUGCCUUCCUUUGCUCCUUGUCAAGUUUAGCAAGUUGUGCUUUCCUUAGAGCUUUGAAUGGUGGGAGCUUAUCAUACUCAUCCUCGUCUUCUUCUUGCUCUGAAUCAGAUAAAUCAUCCACAUCAAUAUCUGAGUCACCAUUCUCACCACCCUGAUCAGAAGAGAGUUUAGGAUGGCUACGAGACUGCAACAGCCAUGAUAACAAAUAUGGAAGAGGAGGGGAUCGGACACGAAAACCAAAGAGCUUCCGAUGGUCAAAUGGAUCUUGAGGUUUGGAGAGAGAACUUGCUUCAGAUAAGACUUUGAUAGAGUAGCAUAAUAACAGUAGCUGAGGCCUCCAAGUUUGACCGUUAGGAAGCACCUUCUGACCAUCUCUAUUCUUUCGGCAUGAAGGAUGAUUUUCAACAAGACAAACAGG
rnacentral:lncRNA from 1 species